GCCUCUGUAGCUCAGCGGUUAGGCCGAACCCUUGCUAAAGAGCGCUACCUUGGUAAGGUAGAGGUCCCGAGUUCAAGUCUCGGCAGAGGCU
rnacentral:tRNA from 1 species